CCGGUGCUUCCGGGUUGGCAGCACCGGAGCUGAACCACGGGCGGUACUGGAACCCCAGUGGCAGGCCCAGCGGAGCUGGAGACCGGGGAGAGCCCGGCGCGGGUGCGCCCGCCAGGCCGCUGGGUGGGCUGGUCGUGAUCCACACCUCGCCGGAUGCCCUGAGAGGCUUAAUUUUUCUUGUCUUCUAAAGAAAAUGGCAGAAACAUCAUCAGAACCUUCUGGGCACCUCGUUGUACACUCAGACACUCACAGUAACGCUGUCCUGGCCAGUUUCGAGGACCAGAGGAAGAAAGGCUUUCUCUGUGACAUUACUUUAAUCGUGGAGAAUGUGCAUUUCCGGGCCCACAAAGCCUUACUGGCUGCCAGUAGUGAAUACUUCUCCAUGAUGUUUGCUGAAGAGGGGGAGAUCAGCCAGUCCACUUAUAUGCUGGAAGGCAUGGUAGCCGACACAUUUGGUAUCCUGCUGGAGUUCAUCUACACAGGUUGUCUCCAGGCCAGUGAGAAAAGUACAGAACAAAUCCUGGCUACCGCUCAAUUCUUAAAAGUCUAUGACCUGGUAAAGGCAUAUACAGAUUUUCAAAUUAAUCAUAGUUCCCCAAAGCCCACGACUUUGAACACGCCUGGUGCUUCAGUGGUGGUUAUUUCUAAUAAGAAAAAUGAUCCGCCGAAGCGCAAACGAGGAAGACCAAGAAAAGUCAACAGUUUGCAGGAGGGGAGAUCAGAACUGGCUGCAGAGGAAGAAAUACAGCUGAGAGUAAACAAUUCAGUUCAGAACAGACAAAACUUUGUGGUUAAAGAGGUAGACAAUGGUAUACUGAAUGAACAGCCUGCAGCAAAAGAAAUGGAGGAAUCUGAGCCUGCUUGUGAGCUGCUAGGUCGAGGCGAGGAAACCCCUGCUGAAAAAGAUGAGAACUGUGAUCCUAAGACCCAGGAUGGACAGGACCACCAGACUCGGUAUAGCAAGCGGAGGAUUCAGAGAUCCAUCAAACUUAAAGACUACAAACUUAUUGGGGAUGAAGAAGACCAGGGUUCAGCCAAGAGGGUCUGUGGUAGGAGAAAGCGUCCAGUUGGCCCUGAGGCCCGUUGUAAAGACUGUGGCAAAGUCUUCAAGUACAAUCACUUUUUAGCAAUCCACCAGAGGAGCCACACGGGGGAACGACCUUUCAAAUGUAAUGAAUGUGGAAAAGGCUUUACCCAGAAGCACUCUCUGCAGGUCCACACACGGAUACACACAGGAGAGCGGCCGUAUACAUGCACUGUGUGCAGCAAGGCUCUCACCACCAAGCACUCACUGCUGGAGCACAUGAGCCUGCACUCAGGACAGAAGUCUUUUACCUGUGAUCAGUGUGGAAAAUAUUUCAGCCAGAAAAGACAACUAAAGAGCCAUUACCGAGUUCAUACAGGCCCCCCAGGCUCCACGAUGGCGGAAAGACGCACUGACACUUUUUUUAUUGUUGCGACAAGGCCACUCAUUACCGGAAUGCAACCACUGCCAUCGCAAAUUCAUGGACGUGUCUCAGCUAAAGAAACACCUCCGAACACACACAGGUGAGAAACCAUUUACAUGUGAAAUCUGUGGCAAAUCUUUCACGGCAAAGAGUUCUCUUCAGACCCACAUCAGAAUCCAUCGAGGAGAAAAGCCUUACUCCUGUGGCAUAUGUGGCAAAUCCUUCUCUGACUCCAGUGCCAAGAGGAGACACUGCAUUCUACACACCGGCAAAAAGCCUUUCUCCUGCCCCGAGUGUAACUUGCAAUUUGCUCGCUUAGACAACUUGAAGGCUCACUUGAAAAUCCAUAGCAAAGAAAAACAUGUGGCAGAUGCCGGCAAUGUUUCCAGCAACAAUAAUACUGAAGAGGUCAGGAAUAUUCUUCAGCUGCAGCCGUAUCAACUCUCUACCUCUGGAGAGCAGGAAAUCCAGCUUCUGGUGACCGACUCUGUACAUAACAUCAAUUUCAUGCCUGGUCCUAGCCAAGGAAUCAGCAUCGUUGCUGCAGAGAGCUCCCAGAACAUGACUGCAGACCAGGCUGCUAAUCUCACGCUGCUCACCCAACAGCCAGAACAACUGCAGAAUUUAAUUCUUUCAGCUCAACAGGAGCAAACAGAACACAUUCAGAGCCUCAAUGUGAUCGAGAGCCAGAUGGAACCCUCGCAGAGCGAGCCUGUGCACGUGAUCGCCCUCUCCAAGGAAACCCUGGAGCAUCUGCACGCCCAUCAAGAGCAAACAGGCGAGCUCCAUUUAACAAGUGCUGCACAUCCGGCUCAGCACCUGCAGCUGACGCAGGAGUCUGCUCCACCUCCACCCAGCCACCAUGUGCCCCAGCCCACACCGCUGAGCCAGGAGCAGAGCUGACCUGGAAACAUGUUUGAAUGCUCUACUGGUCCCUUCUCCACAAGCCAGCUGUAACUGAAUUGUGUGCUUGAAGUCAGGCUUCCUGACAUGCUCACUUACAGAUCCUUACAGAGAUGUGAUAACUAGCUGAUAGUCAUAAUGUUUUCCAUCCAGGCAGCAAGAUGCAAGAUGCGUGUAUCAUGUCCCAUACAUAGUACUGAUAGAGAUUUAGCAUUUCACUGUCUUUAUGUGGGGUAUUAUUGAUUUGGAUUUUUUCGUAAGUACUAAAUAUUCACAGCCACAGGUUAUAAUCUUGUUGACCUUCUCGGUUACAGUUUUUAGUUUUUCAGACAAAGGAAGUCAUACGUUGAAUCGGGUGGAGUGACUAGUUCCACUUCCUCAUUUCUCAUAGGCAGCACGCUUGCCUCCAUGAGUCAGACUCAGACCUGCAGUGAUGUUUGAUCUUCACGAUAAAGUUCAAGCUUUCUUAAUUGCCUGCAAUAAAAAUCUAAUCGGUGUAAUUUGUGUUAAAUAUACUCUGCUGAAUUCUGAUGGACCUCCAAAGAUGGUGAUCUGUGUAUUGUGUCUGAGAACUUUCUGGAGAUAGGAACCUGUAAGCUGUUUUUAUAAAUCCUACAAAAUGGACACACUAUUUUUCAAAGUAAAUGUUUUCUCAUUAUCUUAAAAUCUUUGAGCCUCAGAGAAUUAGUAGCCAGCAUGAGUCUAUUAUUACCAUACGAUUUUAGAUAACUGUCAAAGAUUAAAUGUUGUUUUGUUUAGGUUUUCAAGCCCAGCGUAUUUUAUUUUAUUAAAUACUUUAACUGCUUUCUUUCAAGAAAACUAGUAGAGAAUUUUUCAGAAAAGAUGGUGGGCACUGCUACAUGUAAAUUAACAAUGCCGGUGGAGAGUAGGGCUUAUCUGUCCUAAAAUUAACAGGAUCAUCACAUCAGUUACUUUUUUCUUGUUUUAGAUGUCUUUGAUUUCCACCAGAAUCACAUUGAGUUUGGAAUUUAAAGUAACACAUAAUGGUUCAGGUUUGAGAGAUGAAAGAAACCAGUUUUCUAACAUAUUUGUCAAAAUAUAUUUUGUAUAUAAUUCACAAAAUUCCAAAAUGAUUUAUCUUAGAUGUAUCAACCAAAGUAAUGUUAAAUAAGACCUGACUAGAGCAAAAGUAUGAUUUUUGCAAAUACAGUUAUGCCUUAAAUAUUAUUUCAGGUUCUUGCCUUAGUCAUUUAAACUAUUUACUUAAACCUUAUUCUUAAAAUGCAAAGCUUUUCAAAGCCUACUGGCCCACAUUUUCUCCUGGAUAUAAAUAGUAUUCCACUAUUGGGUUGGCCAAAAAGUUUUGUUUUUUCCAUAGAUGGCUCUAGUAGUACUUAGUUCUUAACCUCAUUGAAAGCAGUUUUGUUCGAUUGUAUUGUGAUAGUUGUCAUAUCAGUGUGCAUUUUAAAAAAGUAACAACCAAAACUGGUAAAUUUUUGUAUGGCCGUUUUAAUAUUGAAGAUGUUAGAAAAUAUGCAACAUUUUCAGCUUAUGCUUUAUUAUUUAAAGAAAGGUAAAAUGCAACUGAAAUGCAAAAAAAAGAUUAUGCAGUGUGUGGAGAAGGUGCUGUGACUGAUCAAAUGUGUGAAAAGUGAUUUGUGAAGUUUCUUGAUACUACUGAUAUUUUGGCCGAAUAAUUCUUUGCUGUGGGGCAGUCUUACACAUUGGAAGAUAUUUAGCAGCACCCCUGGCUUCUACUCACUAGAAGCCAAUAGUGGGAGAUAGCUGACAUCUCAAAAUGUCCAAACCAAUAAAGUUAUCGGUGAAAAUGAAGAAUGUGUCUUAUCUUUUAUGGAAAAAACUAAACAGGCUUUUUGGCUAACCCAAUACAUGAAUUUUUAACUACUCACUCUAGAUAGCAGGAUAAUUAUUCAGGAAUGUGGUCAGUCACAUGACUGUACAUCAUGUCUAGCUUUACGACAGUCUACCUCUGUGCUAAGAGAAGUCUAAUGUGAACCCCAUGUGUAAUUUUAAAUUUCUAGCAGCCAUAAUUAAAGAGGGAAUGAAAUUAAGUUCAAUAAAACAGUGUAUUUAAUCCAA